rnacentral:rRNA from 1 species
UACGGAGGAUCCAAGCGUUAUCCGGAUUCAUUGGGUUUAAAGGGUGCGUAGGCGGACUGAUAAGUCAGCGGUGAAAUCUCUCGGCUCAACCGAGAAACUGCCGUUGAUACUGUUAGUCUUGAAUGCAGAUGAUGUGGGCGGAAUAUGACAUGUAGUGGUGAAAUACUUAGAUAUGUCAUAGAACACCGAUUGCGAAGGCAGCUCACAAAACUGUGAUUGACGCUGAUGCACGAAAGCGUGGGGAUCAAACAGG